rnacentral:rRNA from 1 species
UACGGGGGGUGCAAGCGUUACUCGGAAUCACUGGGCGUAAAGAGCAUGUAGGCGGAUUAAUAAGUUUGAAGUGAAAUCCUAUAGCUUAACUAUAGAACUGCUUUGAAAACUGUUAAUCUAGAAUGUGGGAGAGGUAGAUGGAAUUUCUGGUGUAGGGGUAAAAUCCGUAGAGAUCAGAAGGAAUACCGAUUGCGAAGGCGAUCUACUGGAACAAUAUUGACGCUGAGACGCGAAAGCGUGGGGAGCAAACAGG